CCUACGGGUGGCAGCAGUGAGGAAUAUUGGUCAAUGGUCGGGAGACUGAACCAGCCAAGCCGCGUGAGGGAGGAAGGUACAGAGUAUCGUAAACCUCUUUUGUCAGGGAACAAAGACUGGGACGCGUCACCGGAUGAGUGUCCCUUAAGAAAAAGCAUCGGCUAACUCCGUGCCAGCAGCCGCGGUCCUACGGAGGAGUCGAGCGUUAUCCGGAUUUAUUGGGUUUAAAGGGUGCGCAGGCGGUUUGUUAAGUCAGCGGUCAAAGCCCGGGGCUCAACCCCGGCCCGCCGUUGAAACUGGCAGUAUCGAGUUGGAGAGAAGUAUGCGGAAGGCGAGGUGUAGCGGUGAAAUGCAUAGAGAUCGCGCAGAACUCCGAUUGCGAAGGCAGCAUGCCGGCUCCACACUGACGCUGAGGCACGAAAGCGUGGGUAUCGAACAGGAUUAGAUACCCCUGUAGUC
rnacentral:rRNA from 1 species